rnacentral:rRNA from 1 species
GACGAACGCUGGCGGCGUGCUUAACACAUGCAAGUCGAACGGAAAGGCCCUGCUUUUGUGGGGUGCUCGAGUGGCGAACGGGUGAGUAACACGUGAGUAUCCUGCCCUUGACUUUGGGAUAACUUCAGGAAACUGGGGCUAAUACCGGAUAGGAGCUCCUGCUGCAUGGUGGGGGUUGGAAAGUUUCGGCGGUUGGGGAUGGACUCGCGGCGUAUCAGCUUGUUGGUGGGGUAGUGGCUUACCAAGGCUUUGACGGGUAGCCGGCCUGAGAGGGUGACCGGCCACAUUGGGACUGAGAUACGGCCCAGACUCCUACGGGAGGCAGCAGUGGGGAAUAGUGCACAAUGGGCGGAAGCCUGAUGCAGCAACGCCGCGUGCGGGAUGACGGCCUUCGGGUUGUAAACCGCUUUCGCCUGUGACGAAGCGUGAGUGACGGUAAUGGGUAAAGGAGCACCGGCUAACUACGUG